rnacentral:rRNA from 1 species
GUAUGGAGCAAGCGUUAUCCGGAUUUACUGGGUGUAAAGGGAGCGCAGACGGCAGGGCAAGUCUGAUGUGAAAGUCCGGGGCUCAACCCCGGGACUGCAUUGGAAACUGUCCGGCUAGAGUGCAGGAGAGGUAAGUGGAAUUCCUAGUGUAGCGGUGAAAUGCGUAGAUAUUAGGAGGAACACCAGUGGCGAAGGCGGCUUACUGGACUGUAACUGACGUUGAGGCUCGAAAGCGUGGGGAGCAAA